CCUACGGGGGGCACCAGUAGGGAAUCUUCGGCAAUGGACGAAAGUCUGACCGAGCAACGCCGCGUGAGUGAAGAAGGUUUUCGGAUCGUAAAACUCUGUUGUUAGAGAAGAACAAGUAGGAGAGUAGCUGCUCUUACCUUGACGGUGUCUAACCAGAAAGCCACGGCUAACUACGUGCCAGCAGCCGCGGUAAUACGUAGGUGGCAAGCGUUGUCCGGAUUUAUUGGGCGUAAAGCGAGCGCAGGCGGUCUUUUAAGUCUGAUGUGAAAGCCCUCGGCUCAACCGAGGAAGGUCAUUGGAAACUGGAGGACUUGAGUGCAGAAGAGGAGAGUGGAAUUCCAUGUGUAGCGGUGAAAUGCGUAGAUAUAUGGAGGAACACCAGUGGCGAAGGCGGCCCCCUGGACAAAGACUGACGCUCAGGUGCGAAAGCGUGGGGAGCAAACAGGAUUAGAUACCCUCGUAGUC
rnacentral:rRNA from 1 species